AGGACGAACGCUGGCGGCGUGCUUAACACAUGCAAGUCAAGGGGACCCGCAAGGGUAACCGGCGAACGGGUGCGUAACACGUGAGCAACCUACCGAGAUCUGGGGGAUAGCCGGCCCAACGGCCGGGUAAUACCGCAUACGCUCUUUCCACGGCAUUGUGGAUUGAGGAAACCUCCGGGGGAUUUCGAGGGGCUCGCGGCCUAUCAGCUAGUUGGCGAGGUCACGGCUCACCAAGGCGACGACGGGUAGCU
rnacentral:rRNA from 1 species